AUUGAACGCUGGCGGCAGGCCUAACACAUGCAAGUCGAGCGGAUGAAGGGAGCUUGCUCCUGGAUUCAGCGGCGGACGGGUGAGUAAUGCCUAGGAAUCUGCCUGGUAGUGGGGGAUAACGUCCGGAAACGGGCGCUAAUACCGCAUACGUCCUGAGGGAGAAAGUGGGGGAUCUUCGGACCUCACGCUAUCAGAUGAGCCUAGGUCGGAUUAGCUAGUUGGUGGGGUAAAGGCCUACCAAGGCGACGAUCCGUAACUGGUCUGAGAGGGUGAUCAGUCACACUGGAACUGAGACACGGUCCAGACUCCUACGGAAGGCAGCAGUGGGGAAUAUUGGACAAUGGGCGAAAGCCUGAUCCAGCCAUGCCGCGUGUGUGAAGAAGGUCUUCGGAUUGUAAAGCACUUUAAGUUGGGAGGAAGGGCAGUAAGUUAAUACCUUGCUGUUUUGACGUUACCAACAGAAUAAGCACCGGCUAACUUCGUG
rnacentral:rRNA from 1 species